rnacentral:rRNA from 1 species
AUUGAACGCUGGCGGAAUGCUUUACACAUGCAAGUCGAACGGCAGCACGGGGGCAACCCUGGUGGCGAGUGGCGAACGGGUGAGUAAUACAUCGGAACGUGCCCGGUCGUGGGGGAUAACGUAGCGAAAGUUACGCUAAUACCGCAUACGAUCUGAGGAUGAAAGCGGGGGACCUUCGGGCCUCGCGCGAUCGGAGCGGCCGAUGUCAGAUUAGGUAGUUGGUGGGGUAAAGGCCUACCAAGCCGACGAUCUGUAGCUGGUCUGAGAGGACGACCAGCCACACUGGAACUGAGACACGGCCCAGACUCCUACGGGAGGCAGCAGUGGGGAAUUUUGGACAAUGGGCGCAAGCCUGAUCCAGCCAUUCCGCGUGCAGGACGAAGGCCUUCGGGUUGUAAACUGCUUUUGUAUGGAACGAAAAGGCUCUGGCUAAUACCUGGGGCUCAUGACGGUACCGGAAGAAUAAGCACCGGCUAACUACGUG